CCCCAAGAGGGACCAGCCCUGGGGAUAGCACAAGGCUGCAGGUCUGGGAAGGAAACUGGAGUUUCUCAGUGUCUCUCCAAGGGCUUGCAAGAGAAGUCCUGAAUUUCUCCUGCCAACAUGGAAGACUGGCAUAGAAACGGAGACUUUUGCUGUACAUUGUUCAAACUUUGAUGGAGAACUUUCCUUGCUAAAAUAAAGUUGAUGGGAUUUGAGUAUCAGA